rnacentral:ncRNA from 1 species
AACGACCGGCCGGACACCCGUGUGCCAACGCACGAGGAUCCGGCCCACAAGUGGAGGCUCCGUUCUCCCACCUGACCGCUCCCCGGAGCGGCGGGUCACCGGUCAGGCGGCCGAAGUCCCCAGGGCUUCGGGUCGCCCGAUGUGCGCCCCGCGAUCACCGCGGAGGUGCUCCGGUAGUACAUGGAGCCCCUUCAGUGAUCGGUCGGGGCAUUUUUU